GGAUUCCCCUAGUAACUGCGAGUGAACCGGGAAAAGCUCAAAUUUUGAAUCUGGCGGUCYAMGGGCCGUCCGAGUUGUAAUCUAGAGAAGCGUCUUCCGCGCUGGACCGUGUAUAAGUUUCCUGGAAUGGAACGUCGUAGAGGGUGACAAUCCCGUCUUUGACACGGACUCCCAGUGCUAUGUGAUGCGCUCUCGACGAGUCGAGUUGUUUGGGAAUGCAGCUCAAAUAGGGUGGUAAAUUCCAUCUAAAGCUAAAUACAGGCGAGAGACCGAUAGCGAACAAGUACCGUGAGGGAAAGAUGAAAAGAACUUUGGAAAGAGAGUUAAACAGUACGUGAAAUUGCUGAAAGGGAAACGCUUGAUGUCAGUCGCAUCGUCCGGGGAUCAGCCUCGCUCUUUUGCUCGGCGUACUUCCUGGUCGAUGGGUCAGCAUCGGUUUCGACCGUCGGAAAAUGGCUCGAGGAACGUGGCACUCUUCGGGGUGUGUUAUAGMCUCGAGUCGAAUACGACGGUCGGGACCGAGGAACUCAGCACGACCUUCGGGUUCGGGGCUUCGGCUCACGUUCGCGUGCUUAGGAUGCUGGCAUAAUGGCUU
rnacentral:rRNA from 1 species